GACGAACGCUGGCGGCGUGCCUAAUACAUGCAAGUAGAACGCUGACGGAGGAGCUUGCUUCUCUGGAUGAGUUGCGAACGGGUGAGUAACGCGUAGGUAACCUGCCUGGUAGCGGGGGAUAACUAUUGGAAACGAUAGCUAAUACCGCAUAAUAGUAGAUGUUGCAUGACAUUUACUUAAAAGUUGCACUUUCAUCACUACCAUAUGGCGCUGCGUUGUAUUAACUUGUUGGUGGGGUAACGGCUCAACAAGGCAACGAUACAGCGCCGACCUGAGAGGGGGAUCGGCCCACAUGGGAACUAGACAAGGGCCAGGCUUCUACGGGAGGCAGCAGUAGGGAAACUUUGGCAAUGGACGGAAGUCUUACCGAGGCACUCCGCGUGAGUGAAGAAGGUUUUCGGGUCGGAAAGCUCUGUUGUAAGAGAAGAACGAGUGGGAGAGUGGAAAGUUCACGCUGUGACGGUAUCUUACCAGAAAGCGACGGCUAACUACGUG
rnacentral:rRNA from 1 species